CUUACCUUUAUUCUAGUCUGCUGGUACUGGCUCUUCCCCUGGUCUGCCUCCUUGGCCGACAUCAUUAGAAGUGAUAAUCACAGCCAAUCACAAUGCUUUCCCAUAGGAAAGCAUUGGAUUGGCAUUGUUACUUCUGAUGAUCUCAGUCAAGGAGGCAGGCCCUGGCCAAGCAGUAACGCUUCAUAUAGAUGCAUUUGGAUCAAUGCAUCUCUAUGGGGAAAGUUCAGUAUCUUCAUGCAGAGGGUGGAGACACUGAAUGUCAGUGUUGCACACUGCAUCACUGCCCCAGGAAGCACCGCUUGUAGCCAUCUCAUGAGUGGCCACUGGAGGUGUCUCUAGUCUGUUAUAUAAACACUGCCUUUUCUUUGAAAAAGCCUGAAGGGACUGACUAUACUCACCUGAACAACUAAAUUAAACUGUAUUUGCUCUGGUGACUAUAGUGUUCUUUUAAAUAAAAUGUAUGCCUGCUAAAGCUAGCUGCUGGAUUACAGGGAAAAAACGACUCAGGCUUCCACAAAUGAAU